UUUACUUUGACAGAAUAGUGUAUUAAAUUUAGAAUUUAAAAAUAUAUUAAUAAAAUAUAAGUAAAA
rnacentral:tRNA from 1 species